rnacentral:lncRNA from 1 species
AAUUUUUCGCAGUCUGGGUCUAGUUUCUUCUUUUACCCACAAUGCAAUACAGCCCACGUUGUUGACAUUGUUGUAAUGGCGAAAAUUUUUACCAAAGUGGCUUUUAGACCGAGAAAAUGAUGUCCAAAUCACAGUGAUUUCGGUAAGUUUUAAAGCUCUAAGUUCGUGACAAUGUUCUAUCUUUGUAAAGCGCUCUAGGGUAUAAGUUUUAGUAUAUUAUAAUUUGACAUAAGGCAGUCUUUUCAUAUCGUAUUUGUGUGUUUGUAUAAAUUCGUUUGUGUGUAUUGAAUAAUUUCAUAAAUAUAUUUGUAGCAUAUCUGCUACAUUGCCGCGAAGUGGUCACUGAAGCUCAGAUUACAUGAACACUAUAUUUUUAAUAAAAGACACAACAUGUGCUGUAUUUUACUGCAAUUUCCUUUGAAUAUAGUUGCAACAAGUAAAUAUUUCUUUUGUCUUCAGUAUUGGGCCUCUUGGCUGCAGGUUAAACCAGUUGAACAUUCUAUUCUACCCUGUUUUAUAGUGUUUAUGUAUAUAUGCUCAUACUGUGUAUAUACUAUGUAUUAGUAAAACUAUUGUAAGCUUGAUUUUAUCCCUUUUCAUCAUGUUCAUGAGCCUCAGUGCUACAGUGGUCAGAUCCAUAUUAAGUUCUCCCCUCUGAAUAUAGUGGCCUCGUUUCUCGGCUGCGAACCCUAUGACUUUCUCAUGUGAAAAUAAACAAGCGAACACUCUGCCGGAAGUUGUAGGUUUCAUCCCGGUAAUAGGAUUCGUCAUGUUUCCUCAAACAUAAAAAGUUGACACCAAAGCACUAUUACAAUUCAUGUUACAAAUAUAUAGAGCCAUAGUCUAGUAGGGAGUGAGCUGAAUAUUUAUUCCGCCUUCUAGGAUGUUCAUUGCAACCCAACAAGGACGGCAAUAAAGCGGUACGUAGCACCAUGGACUUCAAGUCUGAUACAAACAAAGGUCAAUGCCAGGCUGUUCUACUGCACAGGCAUUGUGAUCAGUUGAGAAUUCGAAAGAAAUAAAGCUUGUCAUUGCUGGACUUUGUUUUGAAAAUUUCCGAGAGUUUGAUCAGUGCCAACAAAGUUGUUCCCAUGGAAACAACCAGUCGUAAGUAAGCAGACCAAGCAAAUGAAAAUUGUCUGAGGCAGAUGGUCCAUCAGCAAAGGUUGGUCGCAAACCCACCACACCUUUACCAUCAAAUGAUACACGGUAUGACCAACUUGGACAUUGGCCCAACCCCGUGAAUGGUAACCGCAGUCGAUGUCGCCAUUGUAAAGAUGGGCUUUCCAAAAUAUUUUGCGGCAAAUGUAAGAUUUGUCUCUGCUUAGAGAGGGAGAAAACUGUUUUCUGGACAACCAUAAUAAAUAACUUUCAUUGUGAACAAGAACUUUUCUAUAUCUAAUGUUGCGAAUAUAUUAUACUGUAUAUACUAUAUAUAUACUAUAUAUACAAAUAUAUAUAUUUAUAUAUAUACUAUAUAUAUUAUAUAUAUAUUAUAUAUAUUUUAUAUACUAUAUACACUAUAUA